ACCGCAGCAUCAGAACCAAACACCGCCAGCUGGACAAGAGGUGCAGCCUACGGGCCGGUGGGAACAAGAACCGAGGAAGCUGGAGGGAGGCGAGGAUUCGCACGUUAUCCCACCGCAUUGGAAGCAGGAAGCACGGACAGAUAUUUCGCGGGAACCGCAGCCACGGCCGCAGCAGGUCAUGAAACCAGUGGGUGCAGCUCGGCUAGGUGCACGACCAGAAGGCCAAGUGAAAGCUGGAAGGAAAUUAAGUAGACAAACACCACGUGAGCUCUCCUUGUUCCCGAGCCCGAUGGCGAUAGUGGUGGUCUUCCUCAUGGCUCUAUUUGGCGUUCCUCUCAGCGUCCUGGUCUUCAAGGCGUUCCCGAGGACCG